rnacentral:rRNA from 1 species
GACGAACGCUGGCGGCGUGCUUAACACAUGCAAGUCGAACGGAAAGGCCCUGCUUUUGUGGGGUGCUCGAGUGGCGAACGGGUGAGUAACACGUGAGUAACCUGCCCUUGACUUUGGGAUAACUUCAGGAAACUGGGGCUAAUACCGGAUAGGAGCUCCUGCUGCAUGGUGGGGGUUGGAAAGUUUCGGCGGUUGGGGAUGGACUCGCGGCUUAUCAGCUUGUUGGUGGGGUAGUGGUUUACCAAGGCUGUGACGGGUAGCCGGCCUGAGAGGGUGACCGGCCACAUUGGGCCUGAGAUACGGACCAGACUCCUACGGGAGGCAGCAGUGGGGAAUAUUGCACAAUGGGAGGAAGCCUGAUGCAGCAACGCCGCGUGCGGGAUGACGGCCUUCGGGUUGUAAACCGCUUUCGCCUGUGACGAAGCGUGAGUGACGGUAAUGGGUAAAGAAGCACCGGCUAACUACGUG